CCUAGGAGAUACACCUGUUCUCAUGCCGAACACAGAAGUUAAGCCCUAGAACGCCGGAAGUAGUUGGGGGUUGCCCCCUGUGAGAUAAGGU
rnacentral:rRNA from 3 species